rnacentral:rRNA from 1 species
UUAGAGUUUGAUCCUGGCUCAGCAACGAACGUUGGCGGCGUGGAUUACGCAUGCUAGUCGGGGGAAUCCCAGCAAUGGGGGAACCGGCGUAAGGGGCAGUAAGGCAUGGGUACCUACCCUGAAGUUCGGGAUAGCUAUCACAGAUGGUGGGUAAUACCGGAUGAUGUCUUGAGACCAAAGAUUUAUCGCUUUGGGAGGGGCCCAUGUGAUAUUAGCUAGUUGGUGAGGUAAUGGCUCACCAAGGCUAAGAUGUCUAGCGGGUAUGAGAGUACGACCCGCGCCACUCGCACUGAGACACUGGCGAGACACCUACGGGUGGCUGCAGUCGAGGAUCUUCGGCAAUGGGCGAAAGCCUGACCGACCGACACCGCGUGCGCGAUGAAGGCCUUCGGGUUGUAAAGCGCUUUAGUGGGGGAGAAAGGGGUAAAACCUUGAUCUAUCCCAAAAAUAAGCUCGGGCUAAGUUCGUGCCAUCAGCCGCGGUAAGACGAACCGAGCGAACGUUGUUCGGAAUCACUGGGCUUAAAGGGCGCGUAGGCGGGCUGUCAAGUCUGGGGUGAAAUCCCACGGCUCAACCGUGGAACUGCCUUAGAUACUGACGGCCUCGAGGGAGAUAGGGGCGAGCGGAACUGUGAGUGGAGCGGUGAAAUGCGUUGAUAUUCACAGGAACUCCGGUGGCGAAGGCGGCUCGCUGGAUCUUUUCUGACGCUGAGGCGCGAAAGCUAGUGGGAGCAAACGGGAUUAGAUACCCCGGUAGUCCUAGCCCUAACGUUGGGUACUGGGUAGUAGACUAGACAUGGGUUUACUGCCGCAGCAAAAGUGCUAAGUACCCCGCCUGGGGAGUAUGGUCGCAAGGCUGAAACUCAAAGGAAUUGACGGGGGCUCACAUCAAGCGGUGGAGCAUGUGGCUUAAUUCGAGGCUACGCGAAGAACCUUAUCCUGGAUUUGACAUGUGCGAAAGCGUCAGGUGGUAGGAGCCGGAAACGGUAACGAAUCCCGCAAGGGAGAGCCUGAUACAGGUGCUGCAUGGCUGUCGUCAGCUCGUGUCGUGAGAUGUCGGGUUAAGUCCCAUAACGAGCGAAACCCUUACCCUUAGUUGCAACCAUUUAGUUGGGCACUCUAGGGGGACUGCCGGCGUUAAACCGGAGGAAGGUGGGGAUGACGUCAAGUCCUCAUGGCCUUUAUAUCCAGGGCUGCCCACGUGCUACAAUGGUGUACACAAAGCGACGCGACCUUGCGAAAGGAAGCUAAUCGCAAAAAUUACGCCCCAGUUCAGCUCGAAGGCUGCAACUCGCCUUCGUGAAGCCGGAAUCGCUAGUAAUCGCGGGUCAGCAACUCCGCGGUGAAUGUGUUCCUGAGCCUUGUACACACCGCCCGUCAAGCCACGAAAGAGGGGAGCCGAAGAAGUCGCCUUUACCGGUGCCGAAUCGGAAACCCUUGAUUGGGAAUAAGUCGUAACAAGGUAACC